rnacentral:lncRNA from 1 species
UUAUUUCUUUUUUCUUUUUACUACAACAAGUGGUAUUGGAUCUCUGACAUCUAUCAGUGGGAAUUGUACGCUGGUACUUUGAUACCUUGCUAUUGGGGGUUAUGCUAUGGUGUUUUAAUUUAGUUCAUGAACUAUCGAGAUGCAUGUGAUAUUUUGAAAGGAAUCGAUUUUUGAAUAAAAAUAAAUUUGAAAAUAAAUUUUGAAAAGACUAUAUUUGCAUGAAUUUAUUAGUAUUGU